ensembl:snoRNA SNORD29 Small nucleolar RNA SNORD29
UUUCUGUGAUGAAUCAAACCAGCUCACCAUGACUGAAAUGAAAACACUCGAACACCUGAGAAAC